UACGGAGGAUGCGAGCGUUAUCCGGAUUCAUUGGGUUUAAAGGGUGCGUAGGCGGAUUAAUAAGUCAGCGGUGAAAUCCUACAGCUUAACUGUAGAACUGCCGUUGAUACUGUUAGUCUUGAGUUUGGUUAAGGUAGGCGGAAUGUGUAAUGUAGCGGUGAAAUGCUUAGAGAUUACACAGAACACCAAUUGCGUAGGCAGCUUACUGGACCGACACUGACGCUGAGGCACGAAAGCGUGGGGAUCGAAC
rnacentral:rRNA from 1 species